AUUGAACGCUGGCGGCAUGCCUUACACAUGCAAGUCGAACGGUAACAGGUCUUCGGAUGCUGACGAGUGGCGAACGGGUGAGUAAUACAUCGGAACGUGCCCAGACGUGGGGGAUAACGAGGCGAAAGCUUUGCUAAUACCGCAUACGAUCUAAGGAUGAAAGCAGGGGACCGCAAGGCCUUGCGCGGUUGGAGCGGCCGAUGGCAGAUUAGGUAGUUGGUGGGAUAAAAGCUUACCAAGCCGACGAUCUGUAGCUGGUCUGAGAGGACGACCAGCCACACUGGGACUGAGACACGGCCCAGACUCCUACGGGAGGCAGCAGUGGGGAAUUUUGGGCAAUGGGCGAAAGCCUGAUCCAGCAAUGCCGCGUGCAGGAUGAAGGCCUUCGGGUUGUAAACUGCUUUUGUACGGAACGAAAAGGUUCUGGCUAAUACCUGGAGCACAUGACGGUACCGGAAGAAUAAGCACCGGCUAACUACGUG
rnacentral:rRNA from 1 species